GGACUGGAGGAGCGGUAGGGGUUCGGUCUCUCAGCCCGCAGUCACUCAGCCCUUGCUCUGAGUCACCGUACACGCACUUCAAGGAAGUGAUACCGAGCACCGAACUGACCUCAGCCGCCGAGUUUCCUCGUUACAGGAGGCAGCAUCAUCUGGAGUUUUAAAGCACCAGAUGAUCCCCAGGCAAAGGCAGCAUAGGUACAAUGCUUGUGUUACCAGUGGGGGUCUGAAACCAGCUGCCCAAACAGCAAACUUAGACUUGCUAUCACUUGGAGAGCACCUGGGAAGCAGAACGAAGAUGUGUAGAUGCAAACCAGUUCAGCCCUCGAUUUCUGUGACCCAGGCUGCUGACUCAGCAACACCUAUGUUAAAGCGAUCAGGAGAAGGCACGAGAUGAAACACUGCUUCCCCGGUGUCCUGGUUUCCGCUAGGACAGAGUUAAUUUUCUUCCUAGUAGCUGGUAUAGUGCUGUGUUUUGGAUUGAGUAGGAAAGUAAUGUUGAUA